CACGUAGGCACCAAGCGUUGUCCGGAUUUAUUGGGCGUAAAGAGCUCGUAGGCGGUUCAGUAAGUCGGGUGUGAAAACUCUGGGCUCAACCCAGAGACGCCACCCGAUACUGCUGUGACUUGAGUACGGUAGGGGAGUGGGGAAUUCCUGGUGUAGCGGUGAAAUGCGCAGAUAUCAGGAGGAACACCGGUGGCGAAGGCGGUUCUCUGGGCAUGACCUGACGCUGAGGAGCGAAAGUGUGGGGAGCGAACAGG
rnacentral:rRNA from 1 species